GUGUCAGCCGCCGCGGUAAUACGUAGGGUGCGAGCGUUGUCCGGAAUUAUUGGGCGUAAAGGGCUCGUAGGCGGUUUGUCGCGUCGGGAGUGAAAACAUCCAGCUUAACUGGGUGCUUGCUUUCGAUACGGGCAGACUUGAGGUAUGCAGGGGAGAAUGGAAUUCCUGGUGUAGCGGUGAAAUGCGCAGAUAUCAGGAGGAACACCGGUGGCGAAGGCGGUUCUCUGGGCAUUACCUGACGCUGAGGAGCGAAAGUGUGGGGAGCGAACAGGAUUAGAUACCCCCGUAGUCC
rnacentral:rRNA from 1 species